GUCUGCAGCCUCACCACCCUAAAUGCACCCCAUCUAGGAAGCUAAGCAGGGUUGUGUAUGGUUACUACUUGGAUGGAAGACCAAACUAACUUAUAAAGACU
rnacentral:rRNA from 1 species